AGUGAACGCUGGCGGCAGGCCUAACACAUGCAAGUCGAACGGCAGCACAGUAAGAGUUUACUCUUACGGGUGGCGAGUGGCGGACGGGUGAGGAAUACAUCGGAAUCUACUUUUUCGGGGGGGAUAACGUAGGGAAAGUUACGCUAACACCGCAUACGACCUACGGGAGAAAGCAGGGGAUCUUGGGACCUUGCGCGAUUGAAUGAGCCGAUGUCGGAUUCGCUCGUUGGGGGGGUAAAGGCCCACCAAGGCGACGCUCCGUAGCUGGUCUGAGAGGAUGAUCAGCCACACUGGAACUGAGACACGGUCCAGACUCCUACGGGAGGCAGCAGUGGGGAAUAUUGGACAAUGGGCGCAAGCCUGAUCCAGCCAUACCGCGUGGGUGAAGAAGGCCUUCGGGUUGUAAAGCCCUUUUAUUGGGAAAGAAGAGCAGCAGGUUAAUACCCCGCUGUUCUGACGUUACCCAAAGAAUAAGCACCGGCUAACUUCGUG
rnacentral:rRNA from 1 species